GCAGCGGAUCGGGCCUUCCACCUUCCUCUCCCAUAGAAACCCUAAUAUGCACCGGUGAACGACUACAUUCUCCCCUCUCCGAUGGCAAGCCCGUAAUUAUUUGUCGAGGCAGUGGCGUUAUUCACCCCCGUCUAUAUCGUGUGUACGUCAAACGAACACCGCGCGCUCUCUCUCUCUCUCUCUCUCUCUCUCCAACCCCACACCAAACCCUGACUCCCCUUCCCGACGAAACCCUAACCCUAGACUUCUCGUAACCCUAAAUUUCAUCCGCUGAUAUGGCCUGCGAGAGCUGAUCCCCUCUCUCACCAUCGGCCGCCCGAGCUUCCGGCAGCGAAGCGAUGUCGCUGGACGGCGCAGUCGAGAGGAGGGAGGGGUCGCCGGCGGGCAACGGGAACGGGAAUGGGAACGGGCCGGUGAUGGCGCCUCCGGCGAGGCCGACGUACGGGGACCGGCGGCUGAGGCUGAAUCCGAACACGGAGCACAAGCCGGAGCGAUACGAGGACGUGCAGUCAGAGUUUGACCCCGCCAUCUUCAGCUCCCUGGAGCGGCACCUACCGCCGAGCAUGCUCGAGGUGCCGCGCGACGCCAAGGUGCAGUUCAUGAAGGAGAUCCUCGCUCGGUACUUGCCCGAGGGGGAACGAAACAGGGUUCAGAGGCAUAAAGAAUACAGGCACAAACUAAUGUUGGCUUAUCAGCCUUUACAUAAGGAACUCUACAAUCUGCAUCCAUCAGCUUUCUUUGUGCCAUCAUUUCUUAAAGCGGUCAAUGACAACCCAGAGGAGAGCUUUAGAAAUAUAUUAUCUGAACCCUCACCUGGAAUUUAUACAUUUGCUAUGCUUCAGCCAAGUUUCUGUGAGCUGCUAUUAGAUGAGGUAGAAAAUUUUGAAAAGUGGGUUAAUGCAGUUAAGUUUAAAAUAAUGAGACCAAAUACAAUGAAUAAGUAUGGUGCUGUGCUUGAUGAUUUUGGCCUGGAAACCAUGCUUAAUAAGCUUAUGGAAGAAUUCAUAUCACCUAUAGCUAGAGUAUUUUUCCCUGAGGUUGGUGGAUCUACUCUGGAUUCACAUCACGGUUUUGUCGUUGAAUAUGGGAAGGACAAGGAUGUUGAAUUAGGUUUCCAUGUGGAUGAUUCAGAAGUUACUUUAAAUGUGUGUUUGGGGAAAGAUUUUUCUGGGGGUGAAUUGUUCUUUCGGGGUGUUCGAUGUGAUAAACAUGUGAACACGGAGACACAACCAGAGGAAAUUUUAGAUUAUUCUCAUGUCCCUGGUCAAGCUGUACUUCAUCGUGGCCGUCAUCGGCAUGGUGCUCGCCCCACAACUUCUGGACACAGGAUCAAUAUGCUUUUGUGGUGUAGAAGUUCAGUCUUUAGAGAGAUGAAGAAAUAUCAAAAGGAUUUCUCUAGCUGGUGCGGUGAGUGUCAGCGCGAGAAGAAAGAACGGCAGCGUCAGUCGCUUGCUGCCACCAAGAUGGCAUUUCUUAAGGGCUGUGGAGGAUCAAAUAUAUAAGGUGCUUUUGUUUGUAUCCAAAAUUGGGUGGUUGUAAAGUAGCGUGCUUGUCACCCAGAUUGACCUUUGAUUUGUCUAAGGAAUCUGACCAUACCGGUAGCUUCAGCUUUGUUUGUUGAAUUGGACCAGCCUUCUUUAAGUUAUAGCGGUCGGUAGGUAGCAUUUUUUGGAAAAUAAUCCAUUUUGUGCCACAAAAACAGUGUUGGAAAUUUCUAUGGUCUCACUGAUCGGUUGGACUAUGUUCCUAUUGUAACUGUUAUUAGUGGCUCAUACAUUGUGGGAAGGAAUUCCAGGUAUAAUGCCUGAGAAAUUCCAUCAAAAGAUUUCUGUGAAUUGGAGAAAUGCUAGCAAGAAUUAGUGGGUAAAUUUUUGUAGUCCUUUGAACAUGCCACCUCUGCAUUUUUAAUGCCUUGCUCAGCAAAUUUCAUUUA